rnacentral:rRNA from 1 species
AUGCUACAGGUCUUCUCUUUGCGCUUGGCAAGCGAUGAAUCCUAUCCCGUUAGUGUUUAUGGAAUUUUCGCUGUUAGAGAUGUUCUGGAACCACGGCGGAAUCUUAUAUUUAACCGUCGGAGAGAGGAUGCUGUCACAAUUGAGCAGGAUUUUUUCACCUUACCUCUUUGUAGCCCCUGUCGAGGGAUGUAUGCACCGGAUCAGGCAUUACUGGAAGUUGAUCUAUGGGUGAAGAAGGAGGGAGAUGGAUCGCCCGACGAACAGUUGCUCUCUGCGUAUGUUGAGAUUUAUUUCCAUUCACAUUUUGAUGAGAUGCGAACAGGACGGAUUCCCGGUGACAGUUGCAGCUUGGAGAUAGACUUCAUGUUCCUUUCACUGAGUGUUGUGGCUGUGAUACAAAUCUUUGCAAAGGUUGGCCAUCCUCAUCAUUUGAGAUUUACCGCUUUCAGCAGUGGCUUUGAUCAUGAGAUUGUGUUGUUUGGUGACAAAUUCGUUGGGAGCGGGAGCCUAAACCAGCAUGUCGUCGCCGUGAGAGAGAAGGGGAAAUUGGAUGUUCGCUUACAAGUGGAGAAAAUGGUGUUU